UUUGGGAAAGCAUUUUGUGGUACUUGUAAAAUAAUAGAAGAAAAAGUGACUAGCCAGUAUUUUUUUUCUAAAGGAUAUAAAAUAAUUUCAGCCACAAAAAACAUGUAACUUUAGCUUUCCUAGGAUGUGUUGGUAAUACAAAAUAUCAAAGUUAUCAUGGAAAUGAUAAAACAAUAUAGCUUGACCCCAAUUUCCAGCCCUUUGGAGUUUCUUGGUUUACAAAUCCUGUCUCAGUUUACAUGUUCUCCUGCCCUGUCUUGUCUUGCUCAGUGGUACUAAUCAAGGUUCAGACACCUAGUGGCCUCCAUCUACAUUUGUUGCUGCUUAUCUUGAUCUUUUUUCUGGGAUGUCACCUUGGCAUUGAUGAUGUGGAAGUCAUUCCAUUCCUGGAACCAAUUGUCAUGCUUAUUGAAGUAGGAGAAAGUUCUAUAUUCUCAUUUGGCUUCUUCUUCUUCUUCUUUUUUAAGAUUUCCUUCUUAAAUAAUCUCUACACUCGAUGUAGGGCUCCAAUCCCAAGAUCAAGAGUCACAUGCUCUACUAACUGAGUCAGCGAGACAACCCUCUUUUAGCUUCUUAAAGAAUCUAAGCUUUUAGUUUCCUUUCUGAGAAGCUAUAGACAAGUCCUUGGGGCUGGAGAAGAAGCCAUCCAAGGGCUGUUUUAAGAGUACUCCAGAGUGAUAGCCAGCAAUACUGACCUUUUUCUAUAAGAUAUUGUCCAUUUCUAGUUGGGAGAAAUUGCAAAGCACUCAAGAACAAAAAUCACUUGGAAAUCAGACAAGGGCCAACAAACUUGUUCUCUCUCCACCCUGGCCACAG